UGAUGACUGUUACCAACCAAAAUUCAUAUUUUGCAGUUGAAGUUGUUCUUGGAGCUGACUCCAGGAUGCUCUUCAUUAGUACCAAAUAAAUCCCAGUGUCAGGUUCUGCCCCAACUCUGCGAUCUUUUUGUGAACCACUCUUGCCAGGUUUGCUAGCUGAGUGCUGGCCAGUUCAGUUGCACUCAGGCACUUGAUUUCAAGGGAAGCCUGUGGCUGUAAAUUCCAGCAAUUGGGAAAGGAUGGCUUACUACUGGAACGCUUGUCUACAUUCGAGACUAAGUGACGGUCGCUCUCUCAGGGCAGUGUUGUAGCUGGCUGCUUUCAGAGGGAGAAUUGUGUCAAAGCAGCCCUUUGUAGUGAUGUGAGAGCAAACCUUUUCAAAUACAGCUCCUGUUUAAAAUUAAGGGCCUGGUUAAUCAGCAGUAAUGGAGUGUAGGCUGAAGUUUUCACAAAAAAUUUCUUUUUCCUUUUAGCCAAAUGCCAGCGAGGCGUCACACAGUGCAAGUGCACAGGUUGUCAAAUUGUAUAACCCACUUGGAGGUUUGCAGGCGAAUAUUAGAGAGGCCUGGUCCAAGGAACAGGAAGAGGAGAAAGGCAUUAAAAAUUGGACCUACAUUGAAAGAUUGAAGGAACGUGUAAAGAAAGUUAAAAUACCAGAGCUCAGGAGAGCCCCACACAGCACUCCAGAUUUUGUGCCUGAGAGGAAGAGAACAAUGCCCACGAACCCUGCAAAGUUCUUUGGGAGACUUUUCAGUACUGUUUCCCAACGACCCAUCAGAGACAGAGUGAUUCAUUUGCUGGCUUUGAAGAGUUACAAAAAGCCAGAGCUACUUGCCCACUUACAGAGAGAGGGAGUUGUGGGAAAGGACAAAGGAUCCCUUGAAAAGAUCCUUCAGGAGGUGAGAUCAUGGAGUUGGUGCUGGGAAUGCUGAGUCUUAGCUGUCUUAUUUUAGGGUUUCAAUUAGAAACUUUACCCAGUUUCUCCCCACCUGCAAGCCCGCGUGAGGAAAGAAAAGACACCUUCUAAACUUUUGGGGCAUUUUGGGUGUUGUUUUGCUAGAAUAGCUAGCAAUAAUAAACUCUGUAAUGCUGUUGCUUCUUACGCCUUAUUUCAUCCUCUCGCUUUUCCUUGCAUUGUUUAACUGUUUCAUGGAGUAACUUCACCGGGUGAAACUCUCAACUGGGUGAAAUAGUUUGUUGUUGCCCUUAAAAUACCUUGGGACAAAUAUCUGAGGAGACCAGUUUGGUAACCUCAUAUGUCCUAUGCAGUAUUUCAUUAGAAUGGAGUUGGUGGCCUCUCAAUGGUACUUGGCUUCUGCUGAGAUCUGUGGGAAAUGCCUUCCUGGGAAGGGUGCUCCCAGCAAAUCCUACAUGAUAGAGGUGGUGGCCCAACUUUGAGCACCAGGGUUUCUUUCCUGUCCUAUG